rnacentral:tRNA from 1 species
AUCUUUUUAGUAUAAAUAAUAAAUAUACUUGAUUUCCAAUCAAGGGAUCUUAAAUUAUAAGAAAAGAUA